rnacentral:rRNA from 1 species
UACGGAGGGGGCGAGCGUUGUUCGGAAUCAUUGGGCGUAAAGGGCGCGUAGGCGGCCGUCCAAGUCGGGUGUGAAAUCCCUCGGCUCAACCGAGGAACUGCACUCGAUACUGGUCGGCUAGAGUCCGGGAGGGGAUGGUGGAAUUCCCAGUGUAGCGGUGAAAUGCGUAGAUAUUGGGAAGAACACCGGUGGCGAAGGCGGCUCACUGGUCCGGUACUGACGCUGAGGUGCGAAAGCGUGGGGAGCAAACAGG